rnacentral:rRNA from 1 species
UAAUACGUAGGGGGCAAGCGUUGUCCGGAUUUACUGGGCGUAAAGCGCGCGUAGGCGGCAGGUUAAGCGUGCCCUGAAAGCCCCCGGCUCAACCGGGGAGGGCGGGUGCGAACUGGCUUGCUUGAGGGCGAUAGAGGAGUGCGGAAUUCCUGGUGUAGCGGUGAAAUGCGUAGAGAUCAGGAGGAACACCAGUGGCGAAGGCGGCACUCUGGGUCGGCCCUGACGCUGAGGCGCGAAAGCGUGGGGAGCGAACGGGAUUAGAUACCCCGGUAGUCCACGCCGUAAACGAUGGUCACUAGGUGUGUGUGGUAUCGACCCCACACGUGCCGCAGCUAACGCAAUAAGUGACCCGCCUGGGGAGUACGGCCGCAAGGUUG